CUUGUGCCUGUUUUCUGUUUUGGCUUAACUGCAGAGAGUCCAAAGUAUGAGGAAUAUGCAGUGCAUUUCUUCUUGGGUGAAAUUAAAACCACCACCAACAAAAUCAUGUGUCAGUUAUCACAAUGGAUAAUCAUGAUGGGGGCUACAGAUGGUGAUUAUGACUAUAUCAAGCUUAAAGCAGAAAUGCUUUUCUGUGGAUGCCCAGCACCUCCAGUCUUUGUAUUCUCAUUACAGGUAAAGGAAUGAAGUUUAAAGAAUAUAGGAAAGAGACUUAAUUGAUGUGCUAUAUGGGCUUGUAUAUAAUUGUUGAUAACUCCAGGAGCUGCUGUUACACAGAACUGCCUGAGCAAUCAUUGUGACACACUCUGUAUUCGAUGUAGCUGCAGCACAGAACUCCAGUGAGCAGGGUGCGAGAUCAGGCAGUUCCUGCAGUAAAAUAUAUGUACUGUGAUAGAUGCAGGUCUGGGAACUGCAUGGGUGAGCCCAUGGCUGAUAAACCUGGGCAGAAUGGAGGCUCUAAAGAACAAAUGGGUUUGUCUGCCCAUCUGUGCUCCCAGAGAAAAGCAAUUUUGAGGAACAGUACAUUGCAUGAGCACUGAGGUGGGGAACUGUCUUUAUGGAGCUGUUCUGGAGCUGGACAAAUGCACAGCCCCAUGAGCCACAAGGGUUUCCUCUGGUGUGCACUUCUGAGGGGAUUUGAUUUCAAGGGCAAAACCGCCAUGCAGGAGCCAGAGUUUGACAUUCAAAUACUUGGAAAGAAUAUGUACUUUGGUGGAGUGGGGAUACUUAAAAUACAACUUCCCCUUGUCCGCACCAAAUGUAGCAUCUGAUAUGUGGGAACAUGGUGAGAUAAUUGAUUAGAUAACAAGGCUAAAUCCUGGUGGUCAAAAUAACUAAACUUCAUGGAAUUUAAAUAAAUAGCUACUUGUUCAACUAGUAAAACCAUAAUGAUCAACUUUUUUUAAUAUCUAAGAGGCAGAAAUAUAUCUUUCUUGGCUAUUCAUUGCUAUAAGUUCUUCCACCAUUUUCAAUGUUAGAAGUAUCAUUUGGCCCAUUUUUGUUUCUGAAUAUUUUGUUUUUAGAAUAAGCAGAUAAUAUCAUGAUUUUUUUUUACCUUCUCACUCUUUAGUAUCCUAUACACAAGGAAUUGUACUAUAAAAGACGUAUGGCUGGCAUAGUCCCAUUGAGAACAUGAAGAUCUGAAUAAAUCCUGAUGUUGAAAUUUCA